UGUGAUUGGUUGAUAAAAUCAACGUACUAUAGGCUACAGUUUGUCUGCGAUAUCAUCUCGGUGCAACCGGACAUUAAAUGAAUUGAUUUCACACAAUUCAUUUACCAUUUAACAGCGUGCUGAAAUGAUUUUUGAGCAGUGAUAUGUUUGACAAAUGUAAGCUAAUGGUCACAGAGAAUAAAAGACCGCAGAAUCACAUUAUGAUUAAACCAGAAACGGCUCGACUUGAACCAGCAGUCAGUGAUGAUAUGACUCAUUCCACCUUACAGUUACAGCAAUUACCGUAUUGAGAAUUUACCGUUCAAGGACUCCAUUUUGGCAUUGAAUUGGAAUUUGAAGAAAAACUGUUUCAAUAUUGGAUGUAUAUGCAAAUCACCCAGGAAAAGAUCAUGUAACAAAAGAAAUUAUAAAAGUAAAAAAAUGGAAGAAGAAAUGGCUGGAAAAAAUGAUGAUAGAGCAGCUUUUUCUUGUUAGCCACCUCGGAAGAUCAAGACAGCUGGAAAGGGCUAUUGAUAUUGUGGAAGUGUUUUCUUACAGAGGUUGCUUAUCAGACAAAGGCUAUUUAACUACAUCAGAAAGAUAAAAACAGUUGGAAAUGGCUAUUCAUAUUGUGGAAACUUUUCUCACAGAGCUUGAUAAUCAGGCAAAAUGCUGGAACACCCUUGAAAGAGUAUUUGAUGUAUGAUAACAACAAGAGAACCCAAGCAUCAAUUUAUUUUAUACUUCUGGGAAAGAAUGCAUUUGACCCAAUUUUUAAAUAUUUAUUUUUUGUUAUUAAUGUUAAAUUUUCUUCCAAAACACAAUUAGAUUUUAAUUCUCUUCAAAUAUGUAUGUAUAAUAUAGCAAGUAAACUGACAUAUAAAUCACUUAGAAUUUGGUCGGAAAUCAUAAAGUAUUUAAUAGGCAUUACUAGAAACCAAAUGUAGAUCAAAUACACCCAGAAUUACAAAAAACCUUGACCUACAUUAAGGUGACUUUCCCUUGUUUAUGAAAUGAAAUACGUUUUAAUAUCCUGCUUUUCUGUGUUCUUAGAGUGAUUCUACCCUACCCUUAUAUCAAAUAUUUCAACUGUCAAGGGUUCUUUAAAGGGUACCCAGGGGGGCCGAAUGGUUAACACGCACACAUUUGAUCAGAAGGUCUGUCAUUGAUUCAAAUAAUUCAAUUUUCAAGGGUUCUUCAAAGUGUACGCAGUUGGGUUGGUUUCGAUUCUGGGGGGUGGGGGUGGAUGGCCGAAUGGUUAGCACGUGCAUGCUGUAUCAUACGGCCUCCUGUCAUUGAGUCAACUGGCAUGGUUUCGAAUCCCCGGUUGUAGACAAGGAGUACGGUCGCCUGUCCAAU